CAGAAAAUGGCGUAAAAAGGUCAUAUAACUGGAUGAAUGACUGACCGGUCACUUCGUGAAUGCCAGUGAGUGUGUGAUUGGGUGACUGAAUAAGUGUUGACACGCACUCAAAGCAGCUCCCCAAUAUUAAGAGCCAUUCUCGACCGUAACUCACACGUGCUCCACAUAAAGAUACCAACAAGCAGAUACACAUAUGGUCUCAGAAAACAUUUUUCAAAUGAAGUGAAGCGCCGCAAGCAGAUGCUGCUUAAAGGUUUCCAAAAAUGAACAGUCGUGUUGUAAGAAACUGGAACAAAAAAAACUCUUCUAAGUCCCUCCACAAGCUAUGAUUAAAAACAAACCCUACCAAAAACCUCAAUUUAAAUUACCAACAUGCACUUCAUCCGCUUUUAUCAGUUUCCAUUUUGCUGAAUUGCGAUCCAAACAUAAAGAAGGAAACACUCAACACACCCAUUCGAAAUGCAUUUAACAAAAAAAAAGCAUACAACCUGGCUCGAAGUGAAUUUCAAUUUGCUUUUUCAUUUGUAUUGCAGUAGCAUCUUUGCUGGCAAUUCUUGCCUCAGCUGCAUACAUAUCGAGCUUAAACCGCAUUUCGUUUGCCAAAUGUUACGACAGGGAACAAUUUUUGCAAUAGUUUGCAUACAAAUUUCUAUUCCACAGACCUGAGUUGCCUGAAGUGGCAGCUACGAAUUCUAGCUUACAUAUACUAUACUCUCAGAUGUAUUGGUACAAUUCGCACAAAUUAAUGUAAAAAUCGAAGGAAAUUUGAUUUGCAUUUGGCAAAAAUUUUAUCUCAUAAAUGCAGGCUGACUUCCAAAAAUUACAAUUCAAAAGCCUGCAGAAGUUACGAUUCUCGAAAUCAAUUUGAAUUUAAAUUUGAAACUGUCACGUCUAUGACAUAAGCUGGAUUUGAUAUCCAAAAGCCGUUUUUGAAAAUAAUUUAUAUUUUAAAAUAAAUUUAUAAGUUUCUAAGCAUCGAAACGUGUAGUAAUAAUUUAAAGUAUUUUCUGCUUACUAAGUCGAUAUCUAAUACUACUCAUUAAAAAGCACUAUAUUAUGGACUAAGACAUAAUCUUAUGACUAUUUUUUAAUUAAAAUGUUCUCCAUAAUAAGCCAUUGUAAUUGUAAUUGCAGUAAAUAACCCUGAACAUUUUUAAAAUAGCGAAUGAAUAACUGCAAUGCACUUGAAAAUCAGAUGAAUUGGAUUUUAUUACUUAGCAAACGUCUGACCACGGAAGCUCAGUUAAAGCUCGGUUGGCGCAUGCAAGCGCCACCAUCGUAACCGUCCACCAAAAAUCCACUCCGAAGAGAGACCGCAAACACUUUAAGACCCCGUCAACCGCAGAGACUCUACAAGCAGGAUGCUUUUGGAGAGUUGUCAAUUGCAGGACAUGUUAUAGCACCGGUUUCUGUGGUCAACGCCGAUUUGCCAGCUGUGGUAAUCGACACAUGAGCAAGUUUAUCGCACUGGCUGCGCAUUGUUUUCGUGCUUUCCAUCGUUCUCGACAAUUUGCGGCUGUCUUAAAGCAACGGUGGUCUGACUCCAACCAAAGUUUCAUCACAAAGUC